CCAUAAUAACCCUUGUCUCUGUGUGUUUUCAGCGUGUCCAGCUCCGAUAGUCGUAGUUAUUGUUUCUGUAGGAGGAUAUGAAGCAGUGACCCUGAACGCAACGUCUGGAAAAAUCACACGAAUGUGUUGGAUUACAAAUUUUUACAUUCACUACAUAGUGAACAUCGGCUACUACGCUUCAGUUUUCAUCUUCACGACAGGAAUCUUCAUCAUGAUCGUAACUAGGAUUGUCCAGACCAGAAACAUAAAAGCAACUGACGGCAAGAGAAAGACGUUCAGAAAGCAGCUGAUGAUGGUGUUGAGUUUGUUCGUGCUCUUCGGUCUGACGUGGUCUGUGGCGUUCUUCAGUUAUGGACCGAUGCGCAUUCCCUCAUAUUACAUAUUCACUGUGUUGAACUCGUUUCAGGGAUUUUUCCUCUUCCUGUAUUACUACCACAUUCACAAUGACGUCGCGGGUCAUUUCUCUGAUGAUCCAGAAAGCACCGACUCCAACACAACCAUCUCUCAAUCCAGCAUUACUGCUGUGGAAAAUAUUUAUAACUAGCAUAAUUAAGGCUUGCUUUGUCUCAGACUUUCUUUCUCUAAAUUAUGUUAUGACUCUAAAAGGGUCGAUUUUACUGAAAUCACUCAAAACAAAUGACAAAUAUCUGCUGAUUGUUAAAACUUGUAGAAGAAUUGAAUUGUGCUUUCAAAUCUCUGAUAUGAUCUGACAUUAUUGUUGUUCGAUUUGUUGAGCAUUAUAAUCAUACAUGUGUGAUCAUGUGCGUGUCAGAGCGACUCAAAUAACACUGAACCUUAUUUACAUCUUCAGGAUGACAGUAAUGUCCGCACACCUGUGGAUUCACACAUUUGCAUGGCCAUUUCAUAAAGCAGCUCACUAAAACCCACACGCACAGAUGAGAAACAUAUUUGGUUACUGGAAAUAUACUAUUUCAAAGUAUUUCUCAUGUGAUUCUAAUGGAGAUAAUAAAAUGUAAUUUUAUUAAUCAUGAUGAACUGACUCCAAAAUCAUUUUAUUCAUUUUAGUCACACUUAUAAAUAUGUGAAGUCAUUCAUUAGGUCACAAAAUAUUAACGCAAAUGUCACUUACUGUACAGAAAGGUGCACAAAGUGUAAAGUGUAAAAACACCACAUUUUCUGUAUCUAAACCAUGACAGAUAUCCACUAAUGAAAGCUACUUUUUCAUUAGCAUCUUAAAAUUCAUUCUGCUAUUUAACAUUUGUUUUCUAUAUUUAUAUAGUUACCUGUGAACAAAGGUGGCUUGAUAAACUGGUUCUGACUGUAACCAGAUACUGAAAUUCUCAUUUAAAGCCCAAAUAAACAUGAUUUGCAUGUUUUCAAAUGAACUGUAUGUCAGUGUCCAGCGGCUCAUAAUCAAAUGGCUUCAUUUGUGGACGCAUCAAACUCUCUCAACUCUUGGACUGUGGACUUUAUCUAAAGAAUGCCGCUGUCUCUGGGAAUUAUGUCUCGACAAAAGCAGAAUUUGCUGUGGCUGAUGAUCAUCUGUUGGUCUAUGUGCCAGAUAACCUGCUCAAAAAAACUGAAAAUCAGCAUCAGUUCGACCAAUCAAUGUUUCUUGAACCCAGCAAUUCCAGACACAGCACUAAUAUGUAACUUCCCUAAUGACAUAAAUAAUUUUCACAUAAAGAAUGUUAAACUAAACAUCUCUUCUCAAGGAGAAUGCAAAACAUACAGUUUCAAACUAACAGUUCAAGAGCAGAAAAUAGAAGUCAGAAUGAAAGAGUUGAAGCUGGCUGAAGACAUACGUCUGUCAUAUGUUCUAAAAACUAAAAAGUGUGAGCAAUUUAUCCUGAAUCAAGGUGCGUGUCAUCCUACAACAGACACCGUGUUAGUGUAGAAAGUCAAGUCACCUUUAUUUAUAUAGCGCUUUUACAAUACAGAUUGUGUCAAAGCACUUAACAGUAUCAAAUUGGAGGAUAGAGUGUCAGUAAUGUAUAAUGAUAAGAUUAAACACUCAAUUUUCAGUUAAAGGCAUUUCAUUAUUGAAUUCAGAGAUGUCAUUGUCUAGCUCAGUUUAGUUUAAAUAGUAUCUGUGCAAUCAAAUCGGCGAUAAUCGCUAGAAAUUAAGUGUCCCCAACUGAGCAAGCCAGAGGCGACAGCGGCAAGGAACCAAAACUCCCUCUGUGACAGAAUGGAGAAAAAAACCUUGGGAGAAACCAGGCUCAGUCGGGGGGCCAGUUCUCCUCUGACCAGACGAAACCCGCAGUUCAAAAGUUUAUAUUUCUAUUUUAAUUUUGUUGCAAUUUCUAACAAUAGUAGUAUUAUGUAGUUAGGUAUUUUAUUAUAUUUGAGUUAUUUUGUUAUUUUUGGUUGAUAUAUCUGGGGAUAUAUCUCUGGGGGUCAUCUGGGUGUGCUGGUCUCCGCUGACGAUCAGGGCUGUAGACAUCAUCUCUUGGUGCUGAUCCACCAUCUGAUCGGAUACGGACUGAGAAACAGACUAGGAAAGAAACAGACAAAUAUUAGCGUAGAUGCCAUUCAACUUACGAUGUAACGAGUACAU